AGAAAGUCGGACAUGGUGUGGCAUGAUGGCUGGCCUCUUUUCCAUGAUGUCUACCCCAGUUGAUAACCAGAAUUAACCACCAACUCUGUGAGUGAAUGAGCCUUCAGAUGAUUCCAUACCCUUGACAUUUUCCAUUUGAAGUUGAAAGACAACAUGAAGGCUCUUAGGAAGGUGGAACCACUCGGGUGCCCAGCUGCCGUCCAUUCUCCACACUUAUCCCACCUGAUGGAAUGCUGUUGAGAAAAACAUCACUGCAAUGCAUGAUAAACCAACAUGGGUCCCAGACCCAAUAAGAGUGAAACCAUCCCCCUAUUUAAAUGAAAUUAUGGCUGAUGAGAAAGACAAAUUAAUUUCUCUGCCCCCAAUAUUACACAAAACUUUGGAUGCUGCCAUUGUUACAAUUUUAUUUUCCCCAGGAGCUCAGAGUCCCACCUUCAUUCUUUUUGUUUAAUGCCUAAGCUUGCCUCUCCGCCUGUGGAAGACUAGAAUGAGCAGAUGCCGUGUCUUCAAUGAUCUGUAAAUCUAGCAAGAAACAAGAUAAUAAAUAUACUGUGUUUUCUAACCAAA